AUAUAUUAAUAAUGAUGAGAAGAAAAUAACAAUGACGUACUAAUAAAACUAUCAAAAGAGUAACACCAAAAUAGCAAAAUAUAACAGUUAAUAUAAUAUUAAAAUAAUAAUAUGGAAAUAAUACCAUGUAUAAUAAUAUUAAUAAUAAUAAAGUAAAAAGGAGUAAAUAGGAUAUACUAAUAAUAUUAAAAAUAAGAUAGUAGAUAAAGAAAAUGAAUAUAAUAAUACAAUAAUAAAUAGUGAUACAAUAAUAAAAAUGAUAAUAAUGAUAAUAUAAGUAAUAAAGAACCCAAAAUAAUAGAGAAGGGACUAAUUUAAACGUGAAACAGAAAAUCUGGGCCAAAUUUGAAAAUAAAGAAAGGGAAAAGGAUCAAUCUGAACGCGCGUAAAUAAGCGGAGGGGCUAAAUGGGAGAAUAUCCCAAGUUUUUACACGAUGCGUUUCAGUGGCCAAGCCAUGGACCAAAUCAAAAUAGAAAUAAAAGUAAUGGGGCGAAUUAAAAAGCAAAACGAGACACAUACAUAGGAGCAGAAAACGUAGGAGGACCGAAAGGAAAAUUUCCCCGUUUCUUAGAAACGCGUGGAUCCCCCAUGUACGGGUCGGGUCGUGCGGAUCAGGGGCCCUAUACGGCACCAUUUCAGUG
rnacentral:lncRNA from 1 species